GUAGAGGGCGCUGUGCUGCAGUGGGCUGUGGAGCCCAGUGGGGGGGGCUGGACCGAGUCCAUGCUGCAGAGGGUGCUCCACCUGGUGGGCGUGGCUCUUCUGGAGGAAGAGCAGCAGCUGGAGAGCAGCAGAGAUGAUGACGUCACCUUUAACUACACCUGCAAGAUCAUACGUCCAGGUGAAGCUCCCAGUACUUCAGGAAGUGUCCUGGCUCUGUUGGAGAGUCUGCAGAAUGCUCCUCACCUGGAGGUUCACAAAGACAUGAUCACCUGGAUCCUAAAGGUGAGCAUCAGUCUGAUGUCACUCCCUACAGGCUCAGUUUACAUUGAGGUACUAAUACAUAUUAUUAUUAUUAUAAUAUAUAUAUAUAUAUUAGUGCUGGGCAAGUUAACGCGUUCAUUAAUUAAC